GAGGAGCUAAUCUCUUUUGGAAUGCUCUGUAAUGAUUGUUGACAAGUCUUUCCGACUUUGUGCAUAAUCAUUACAAGAAGAUCAAUGCAUAUAAGUUUAGAAUCUAACAGAUUUCAGUAAAUGGCAUGAAUUUGGAAUUCUUGCAUUUGCAGUAAGGAUUUGGGACUGUGAAAGAGGAUCAUUGGAGUUAUGUUCAAUUGAUCUAAUUCACAAAGUGAAGAUCAUAGACAAACAUAGUAUGCAUACUUGGUGUAUGGCAUGACUAGUGUUUAGAAAACAUAGUGUACAUGCUUGGAGCAUGGGACAACUAUUGUUUUAAAUUCAAGAAUAAAGUUGAUAGCUGAAACAGUAUACAAUGAAUAAUGUGUAAUCAUAUGGUGAUAAAUAAAAGGUGUUUUAUUUAUGUUCAUAGGUUUUGAUACCAUAUUGGAUUCAAUUAUUCUUGUGUUUCAUUUUGCAUGUUUUGACUUCCAGAAUAAACUAGGUUAUUCUUCCGGAAUGACUAAGUUAUUCAAACCAUCCACAGUCGGUCAUAUGUUGGAAGUAGAUAUGAAUUAAGACUGUCAUGGGUUGGCUUGUAGAGGUCUAAGGUGUUGGACAAAGGGCUACAACACUCAUGAGUGCUCAUAAGUUCUGAGUAUUGGAUUCAACCCGCGCUCAUUGGAAUCACUUCAUGGAUUUUAUCACGAGUGAUCAUGAGACGAUAAUAUCUUAUAUUCUUCAAACCUAGAGAUAUGAGUUGUUACUAUGAGUUGAUAGUACAUUGAUUGCACGAAAACGCAUUUGGUAACUCGGUGCUAUAAAACGUGCCUUUGUGUAUGAUUCAACAAGUAGUAGAACAAGCCAUAUGAGUCGAAGUUUAUCCAUUCCUUUUACCUUCGGGAUAAAAGCGAUAUCUGUGGGCCCCUCGAUGAUUUGAUGAUGACAAAUGGAAGUGCUCGGCCGGGCCAGGACUGAUUUGAUUUGUUCAAUUAGUCAGUCGUCAUAAAUCGGAAAUCGGGAAACAACAAAUGGACAGAGAGAAUG
rnacentral:lncRNA from 1 species